UGAACCUGCGGAAGGAUCAUUAACUAAUGUAUUGGCACUUUACUGGGAUUUACUUCUCAGUAUUGUUUGCUUCUAUACUGUGAACCUCUGGCGAUGAAGGUCGUAACUGACCUUCGGGAGAGACUCAGGACAUAUAGGCUAUAAUGGGUAGGCCUGUUCUGGGGUUUGAUCGAUGCCAAUCAGGAUUACCUUUCUUCCUUUGGGAAGGAAGGUGCCUGGUACCCUUUACCAUAUACCAUGAAUUCAGAAUUGAAAGUAUAAUAUAAUAACAACUUUUAACAAUGGAUCUCUUGGUUCUCGCAUCGAUGAAGAACGUAGCAAAGUGCGAUAACUAGUGUGAAUUGCAUAUUCGUGAAUCAUCGAGUCUUUGAACGCAGCUUGCACUCUAUGGAUCUUCUAUAGAGUACGCUUGCUUCAGUAUCAUAACCAACCCACACAUAAAAUUUAUUUUAUGUGGUGAUGGACAAGCUCGGUUAAAUUUAAUUAUUAUACCGAUUGUCUAAAAUACAGCCUCUUUGUAAUUUUCAUUAAAUUACGAACUACCUAGCCAUCGUGCUUUUUUGGUCCAACCAAAAAACAUAUAAUCUAGGGGUUCUGCUAGCCAGCAGAUAUUUUAAUGAUCUUUAACUAUGAUCGGAAGUCAAGUGGGACUACCCGCUGAACUUAAGCAUAUCAAUA
rnacentral:rRNA from 1 species